rnacentral:tRNA from 1 species
GAUAGUAUUGCUUAAAGGUUAUAGCAAAAGACUGCAAAUCUUUUUAUCUCAGUUCGAUUCUGAGUACUAUCU